rnacentral:rRNA from 1 species
UACGUAGGGUCCAAGCGUUAUCCGGAAUCACUGGGCGUAAAGCGUGCGUAGGUGGAAAGUUAAGUGCAAUGCGAAAUCCUGUGGCUCAACCAUAUGGACUGUAUUGCAUACUGGCUAUCUAGAGGACAUGAGAGGCAAGUGGAAUUACCGGUGUAGCAGUGAAAUGCGUAGAGAUCGGUAGGAACACCAAUGGCGAAGGCAGCUUGCUGGCAUGUAUCUGACGCUAAGGCACGAAAGCGUGGGGAGCGAACAGG